AGCAAUAAAUGAGACUUGCUUCAACCAUAUGCUGUCUCCCUCCUCCUUCCCGCCCAUUUCUCUUUCAGGCUGGUCCCCCUAGGUUCCCCAUGAAUAACUGAGUCCCAGUGGACGGGACAAGUGGCACCCAAUGUGGGGGGCAAGAGGUGAGGACCCUUGCCAGGCGGACCCCGAAGAAUCGUCUGGACCCCGAAGAAAUCACAAGGAUCCCCUUCUGUCCUUGAAAAGGGGGACAUGUUGGUGACCGGACCAUAGUCAUGGAAAAUUACCAGACUGCAGACCUUGCAUCAAGCAACAGAUGGCGGCCA
rnacentral:lncRNA from 1 species